rfam:Oryza rufipogon genomic scaffold, chr04
AAUAAGCGUAGUUUUGCACUAUUCACAUUUAACGUUUGACAGUUCGUCUUAUUUAAAAUUUUUUUAUGUUUAGUAUUUUUAUUGCUAUUAGAUGAUAAAACAUAAAUAAUACUUUAUGUGUGACUAAAUAUUUUCAAUUUUUUCACAAAUUUUUCAAAUAAGGCGGACGGUUAAACAUUGGGUACGGAUAUCCACGGUUGCACUUAUU